rnacentral:rRNA from 1 species
GGCGCACGGGUGAGUAACGCGUUGGAUAAUCUGCCCUUCAGUUGGGAAUAACUCAUCGAAAGGUGGGCUAAUACCGAAUGAUACUGCGAGACUUUGGUCGAGUAGUCAAAGAGAGCCUCUGCUUGCAAGCCCUCGCUGAAGGAUGAGUCCGCGUACCAUUAGCUAGUUGGUAGGGUAAUGGCCUACCAAGGCGACGAUGGUUAGCUGGUCUGAGAGGAUGAUCAGCCACACUGGAACUGAGACACGGUCCAGACUCCUACGGGAGGCAGCAGUGAGGAAUCUUGCGCAAUGGGGGCAACCCUGACGCAGCAACGCCGCGUGAGUGAGGAAGGUCUUCGGAUCGU